rnacentral:rRNA from 1 species
UAGCGUAUAUUAAAGUUGUUGCAGUUAAAAAGCUCGUAGUCGGAUUUCGGGGCGGGGCGACCGGUCUGCCGAUGGGUAUGCACUGGUCGGCGCGUCCUUCUUUCCGGAGACCGCGGCUACUCUUAACUGAGCGGGCGUGGGAGACGGAUCGUUUACUUUGAAAAAAUCAGAGUGUUUCAAGCAGGCAGCUCGCUCUUGCAUGGAUUAGCAUGGGAUAAUGAAAUAGGACUCUGGUGCUAUUUUGUUGGUUUCGAACACCGGAGUAAUGAUUAACAGGGACAGUCAGGGGCACUCGUAUUCCGUCGAGAGAGGUGAAAUUCUCAGACCAAUGGAAGACGAACCACUGCGAAAGCAUUUG